UUAGAGUUUGAUCCUGGCUCAGGAUGAACGCUAGCGGCAGGCUUAACACAUGCAAGUCGAGGGGCAGCGGGGAAAGUGCUUGCACUUUCCGCCGGCGACCGGCGCACGGGUGCGUAACGCGUAUGCAACCUACCAGUGACAGGGGGAUAACACCGAGAAAUUGGUACUAAUACCCCGUAACAUCAUGGACGGCAUCGUCCAUUGUUGAAAGCUCCGGCGGUUACUGAUGGGCAUGCGUUGUAUUAGCUGGUUGGUGGGGUAACGGCUCACCAAGGCGACGAUACAUAGGGGGACUGAGAGGUUAACCCCCCACAUUGGUACUGAGACACGGACCAAACUCCUACGGGAGGCAGCAGUGAGGAAUAUUGGUCAAUGGACGCAAGUCUGAACCAGCCAUGCCGCGUGCAGGAAGACGGCUCUAUGAGUUGUAAACUGCUUUUGCACUGGGGUAAAAUCGGGUACGUGUACCCGACUGAAAGUACAGUGCGAAUAAGGAUCGGCUAACUCCGUGCCAGCAGCCGCGGUAAUACGGAGGAUCCAAGCGUUAUCCGGAUUUAUUGGGUUUAAAGGGUGAGUAGGCGGACAAGUAAGUCAGUGGUGAAAUUUCCGGGCUUAACCCGGGCAUUGCCUCUGAUACUGCCUGUCUAGAGAGUGGUUGCGGUAGGCGGAAUGUAUGGUGUAGCGGUGAAAUGCUUAGAGAUCAUACAGAACACCGAUUGCGAAGGCAGCUUACCAAGCCAUAUCUGACGUUGAGUCACGAAAGCGUGGGGAGCAAACAGGAUUAGAUACCCUGGUAGUCCACGCAGUAAACGAUGAUAGCUCGCUGUCGGCGAUACACUGUCGGCGGCUAAGAGAAAUCGAUAAGCUAUCCACCUGGGGAGUACGUUCGCAAGAAUGAAACUCAAAGGAAUUGACGGGGGCCCGCACAAGCGGAGGAACAUGUGGUUUAAUUCGAUGAUACGCGAGGAACCUUACCCGGGCUUGAAAGUUAUUGACAGAUCUGGAAACAGGUCAUCCCUUCGGGGCAAGAAACUAGGUGCUGCAUGGUUGUCGUCAGCUCGUGCCGUGAGGUGUCGGGUUAAGUCCCAUAACGAGCGCAACCCCUGCUGAUAGUUGCCAUCAGGUCAAGCUGGGCACUCUAUCGGGACUGCCUGUGUAAGCAGGAGGAGGGUGGGGAUGACGUCAAAUCAGCACGGCCCUUACGUCCGGGGCGACACACGUGUUACAAUGGUAGGUACAGAGGGCAGCCACCCAGUGAUGGGGAGCAAAUCUCGAAAGCCUAUCUCAGUUCGGAUUGUGGGCUGCAACCCGCCCACAUGAAGUUGGAGUUGCUAGUAAUCGCGGAUCAGCAUGCCGCGGUGAAUACGUUCCCGGGCCUUGCACACACCGCCCGUCA
rnacentral:rRNA from 1 species